GACGAACGCUGGCGGCGCGCUUAACACAUGCAAGUCGAGCGAGAACCAGGGCUUCGGCCCUGGGGACAGCGGCGAACGGGUGAGUAACACGUGGAUAACCUGCCCUCGACACCGGGAUAGCCCGGGGAAACCCGGAUUAAUACCGGAUGGCCCUUCCGGCUUUCGAGCCGGUCGGAAAAGGUAGCUUCGGCCUCCGGCCGAGGAUGGGUCCGCGGCGGAUUAGCUUGUUGGUGGGGUAACGGCCUACCAAGGCUCCGAUCCGUAGCUGGUCUGAGAGGACGAUCAGCCACACUGGGACUGAGACACGGCCCAGACUCCUACGGGAGGCAGCAGUGGGGAAUUUUGGACAAUGGGGGCAACCCUGAUUCAGCCAUGCCGCGUGCGGGAAGAAGGCCUUCGGGUUGUAAACCGCUUUUGUCAGGGAAGAAACGCGCCGGGCUAAUACCCCGGCGUAAUGACGGUACCUGAAGAAUAAGCACCGGCUAACUACGUGCCAGCAGCCGCGGUAAUAC
rnacentral:rRNA from 1 species